AAUUAGACUGUAUUUAUUUCCCAUGCAAACAAAAGAACGGAAAACUUGUGUUUUCUUUAAAGAUGCUUUCAAGCAUCUGCUUGUUUCUUCUUAAUACAACCAAAAAAUUACCUUCCUUGGCAGCUAUCACUUAAUGUUACUUGAGUCACUAGGCUGGACAAGUUGUUUAAACUCUUGUUCCUUCAGUUAUGAAAUGUGGCCAAUAAUAAAUGUGGUAUCUGGUCACACGUUAUCAAGCAAAAACAAACAAACAAACAAACACCAACACCCUCUUGUUCUCUGCCUCAGUUUCCUCCUCUGUAAAAUGAAGAUAGACCAGCAGCUGAACAGAAGGAUUGUUGAGGAAAUAGCUAAAUCCAAUCUUCACAUAAGGCUGCUAGUUUGGUUGUGAUAUCUGCUUGGCUACUUCCCCUGGAGACAAGGUCAGUGCUACCUGUGUGUGCAGAGCAGUGAACAACAGCUAUGGCUUUGGGGAGCUGGAUGGCAGAAAGAAGUUCAGUAAUAAGGUUUGCAUUGGCAAUACAUUUUCCAGCUGAUGUUAAGAAUCCCCUCUGAAUCCAUAGCAUGCCAAUGGCAUGACAUAUGCCAAAUGCAUAGCAGGAGUCUCUGUAAAUUGUGAAUUUUUUUUUCCUUUGCAAUGAUACAGGCAUGUUUCAAAGCUGUGAGUUCUGCACCCUGUACUCUUACAUUUAAGGGUAAGGAAGCUGACCACAGAGUAUCAAAUUCAGUAACUACCACAGCUCCUGCAUAGCGCAUGCCAUCCCUUAAAUGAAGAACCAUCUGUAACUAAUAUUAAAUCCAAAUUAUCUAAAGGGGUGUUCAGUAAAUCAUUACAAGGUUUAUCAGCAAUGGACACUAAAGAUGUACAAUUGUGUAAAGGUUCUCUGGAAGUUGGAAAAUCGAGGAGCAAGGUAGUAUAGCGUUUUAAUGUGAUAUGUUCAUUAUUCAAUAGGGUUAUCUCAUACCUUGUAAUCCUUUGAUCAGUAAAUGCCUGUGCCCUAUGUCUUAAUAGCAAUGCCUUUACCUCAUGUGGGCAUAUUAUAAUCAGAGGGCAUCCCAAUACUAGAUCAGUAGACUUGGUUACUAAUAAAGCUGUGGCAGCUACUCCUCUAAGGCA
rnacentral:lncRNA from 1 species